GCAAGUCGAGGGGUAACAGGGAGCUUGCUCCGCUGACGACCGGCGCACGGGUGCGUAACGCGUAUAGAACCUACCUUUUACAGAGGGAUAGCCUUUAGAAAUGAAGAUUAAUACCUCAUAGUAUUAAGAAUUGGCAUCGAUUUUUAAUUAAAGAUUUAUUGGUAAAAGAUGGCUAUGCGUCCUAUUAGCUAGAUGGCAAGGUAACGGCUUCCCAUGGCAACGAUAGGUAGGGGUCCUGAGAGGGAGAUC
rnacentral:rRNA from 1 species